CUCUAGCAACCACACCAUGUUUCCGAACAGCUGAAGCCAGUUUCCCAGAAGAGAACAGAGCCCAUGUCCGGAGAUCUCCAGAGAGCUGGCUAAGCAUUGUUUCUGGGUGUGUGGGUGAAAGUGUUCCUGGAGGUGAUUUGUAUCUGAAUUGGUAGACUGGGUAAAUAUCACCCUGUCCAGUGCAGGUGAGAAUCACUUAGCCUACUGAAGGCCUGAAUAGAUCAAGAAGGCUGAAGACAAUUGGAUUUGCUCCCUCUCCUCCUGGCUGCUGGAGCUCAAUUGAACUUCCCCUGCCCUCAGCACUCCUAAUUCUCAGAACGUCAGGCUAGCAUUGGAAUCUAUACCAAGACUCUCAGACUUUCCAGCGACACCACCAGCUUUCCUAGGUCUCCAGCUUGCAG
rnacentral:lncRNA from 1 species